AGAGAACAUAUGAUGACUGCAUAGUUCAAAUGACACUACUAUAAUGUAGUGCAUGAGAAAAUUAUUUUCGCCCCUAUCUGAUGUUCUCA